AAACAUCACAAGCCAAUCUGAAAGAAAAUGGAGUUCAACUAAGACUUACUAUUGUAGACACACCGGGCUUUGGGGACCAAGUAGACAACAGCAAUUGCUGGGCACCAAUCUUGGAUCACAUAGACAGCAAAUUUGAGGAGUACCUGAAUUCAGAGUCGAGAGUAAACAGAUAUUCAAUACCAGACAAAAGAGUACAAUGUUGUCUAUACUUCAUAGCACCUUCAGGUCAUGGGUUGAAACCUUUGGACGUAGAGUUCAUGAAGAGGUUACAUGACAAGGUAAACAUCAUCCCACUCAUAGCCAAAGCAGACACACUCACGCCAGAAGAGUGCAGAGAAUUCAAGAAAAGGAUAAUGGCUGAAAUCAAUGAACACAAGAUCAAGAUCUAUGAAUUCCCUGACAUCGAGGAAGAGGAAGAGAACAAAGAAAAUAAACGUCUUACAGAACGGGUUCCAUUUGCCGUUGUCGGUAGCAACCACAUUAUGGAGGUCAGCGGGAAGCGGGUCAGAGGUCGACAGUAUCCUUGGGGAAUCGCUGAAGUCGAGAACUUGGAACACUGUGAUUUCAUUCCUCUUCGUAACAUGCUAAUCAGAACACACAUGCAAGACCUCAAAGAUGUGACCAACAAUGUCCACUAUGAGAACUUCAGAUGUCGUAAACUCACCGCAGUCACGUCGGGCGACGCUAAGAGAGGCGGAAAGGCUAGCUCAAAGAACCCGAUAGCACAGUUUGAGGAGGAGAAGCUUGAGCAUGACAAGAAGAUGAGAAAGAUGGAAUCAGAGAUGGAACAAGUCUUUGAGAUGAAGGUCAAAGAAAAACAGAAGGGAUUAGAAGACUCAGAAGCCGAUAUGCAAAAACGUCUGGAACAGAUGAAGAAGGGCCUGGAACAGCAGCAGCGUGACUUGGAAGAAAAGAGGAGAAACUUUGAGAAAGAGAAGGAAGCUUUCGAUGAAAACCAACGUAUAAGGGAUGAACAACAUAAAGGAUCAAAACUGUGGGCCAUGCAAAUUGCAUUCCACAGGAAGAAGAGCAUACUCAUGAAGCCGCCCAAGCUCUUCAGUAGUACUGCCGAUUGACAGCGCCCUCUCUCGGUCGCGGGGGACACUUAACACCAUUUAGGAACAAAACAAAAAAAAUUAAGCGUAAAGAGAAUUCAUCAUACACAUCACCAUCACAUCACCUCAUGCGUAUGUAGCGCACCCGUAGUUUGAGGUCAAGCCUUCCCCGCGACAGAAAUCUCCCCCUGCUGUUUUAUUCGACACUGGAUCCGAAAAAGGCCAAAGGAAAGAAAACUAUAUUUUGAAUACGACAAGACCAUUCAUCCAUUCAUCGCAAUCUCCAAGACCUUUUCUUUUUUUCAAUUAUAUAUUUCUCUAUGUCCAGGAAUUUUAUGUGGUUAUCUGUCUCGUAUUGAUCCCUACCCCCCCCCUCCCCCCUCCCCCAAGUAUCUGAACAAAUGGUCAUAGCAUGGCAAGUUAUGUAAUAUGAGAAAUCGGGACAUUAUUGGUAGGAUUAUCAGUCAACUAUAUAUAUAUGGAUAAAAUUUUAACCACAACCCCAAUAUUGAAAUCUAUUGAUUUUCAUUAGUGGGAACACUUCUGAUCGUGGUUCAGCAUAUAUUCUAAAUGUAUGACGCCAUCUUACACAAUAUUAUUAAAAUUAAGAAAAGUAAGGUGAAAUAAAUUGAAAUUGAUUUUGAUCAAUCAAAGAAUGAAAUGUGAAUUUGUAUCUAAUACAUAAUUUAUAAGGAAAUUUAAAUCAGAGGUAUUUUAUUAUCAUUGUGAUUUUUCUACUUAGACAUUGUUUCGUGGACAUGAAUUACAUUUACAAUGAUAUUUAACAUGUGUAUUCAUACCAUUGCCCAAAUUCAUGCCCACGUAUACAGGAAUGUUCUUUAUUAUUGGGUUUAUUUUUUUCACAUUGUCCUUUUCAUCAAAAGAAAAAAAAAUGGUAUAAGAAAAUUCCUGUACAAUAUUGCAAUUGUAAUAGAUACUAAUGUUUUCUAAAAGAACUAGAUGUCAUGAGACAUUGAUUUCUUUAUUAUUGAAAUUAUUAUGUUCUGUAAGAUAUACCCCUGUUUGUACGAUUAAUUAUUGAAUAUGUCACCUCAAGCAUUUCAGUGUCACAGUCAGUUAUCUAUCCUGUAGAUGAGUGUUGGAAUAACAGUUGAAUUCAUGACAAUAGAAAUUCCCAGUGAAUCAAAUGCAAGUGCACCCUUCCUUUAAUAGCAUUAAAUUAUCAUUAGUCAUUCAAAAUGAGAAUUGGGCUUUAUUUGUUUUUGACUUGUGGUCAAGUUUCUCUUUAAAUACCUGUGUUGGAAUUUAACAAGAAAAUCAGAAGAUGUUACAUGUAUGUGGGAAAAAAAAAAGAAUCCCAAUCAAAAUGUAGGGUUAUUCUUUUUCAUUUUCUAUUUUCUUUAAGAUACCAUACCUCAGUGCAGCUUAAACAUCUAUUCUAAUCAUAGAUGUGCUUUUCUUUUAUGUGUUGUUCUAUACCCCUCUUUUAUUGUAAUCUAAUGUUUUAGUCAUGGUGCUCUUUCAAGCUUCAAUAAAUGUUAAAACUUACUUUAAUUAUUCUUUUAGAAUUAUGUUAGGAAACAACCAAGAAAUUUAUGCGAUAAUGAAUGAUUUAUUUGUGUUCAGGUGUUAGCGUUAUGAGACUGAAUACAAUAAUAAAUGUCAAAUCAUGAACACCAAAUCUUUUUCAUAGGUGUUGAAGGUGACACUAAUUUGACACCAACCAACACUAAACCUGUAAUUUUCCCCUCAACUUUUGUAUUGUUAUUGUAGAUAUUCUCAAGAACUUAUAUGUUCCUCCAUAAUGGUUAGAAGUCACUUUUUUUAAUAUAUAUGUAUCAGCAAUUAUUCUCAUGUUCCACAAUAACCUUAGCAACUAACAUAGGCGUUAGCAUGUUGAGGUUUUCUUUGUACAUUACCACAUUGUAUUUCUGAAGUCUAUCUGCAGUAUAGUUGACAAAGUACAUCUUGCGAGCAAUCAGGCUUCCAUGUGUUAAGUUUAUUUUGAAAGCCACAAUUUUUCAGUUUUCUCUUUCUUCACGACUAUUUGAAUAACACAUGUGCCUAUGGUAUUUAUUAUUUUUUAUCGAAACAAUGAUGAAUAUGUGCUUGUAUAGAUUGAAUGUCUUGUACCUCUCCAAUACAUGUAUGCAUCUAUUUUAUAACUGUCAUAACUACUAAUAAAAUGUCUGUAGCAAAAAGAUAUGUACAUGUAGAUAGAGCCCAGACAUUACAUAGCAUUGUAAGCUUUUAUACAUCAGUCUUUAUAGUGGUCGUAGCGCCAGGAACCAAUCGGCGUUAUUUUACUGGAGUAUAUACAUAUCUGUACAUAUUAUGUAAUUUAAAUUGCAAGGUUAAGCCUAAAGUGCUUUUCCAACACGUUUUUUUUUAUUUGCGGGACUACAUGACUUCAUUUAUGAAUGAAUCUGGCCAAAAAAUCUUUACCCCCUUUUGUUUUUUAGAAAUUCAUUUGAAUGUAUUUUUAUGUCACGUUUCUGUUUGAAUAGGUAUACAUAAACAGAGGAAUCUAUAAAAAUGCUGCUUUUGUUAUGAAAUUUGGUAUGUUUUGGGGAAAAGGUGAAUUGGUGUAGGUUGUAUGUUCACCUUCACAUAGUUUCAAGGAUACAUGUUUUUAACUAUUGAAGCCUAUAGAUCUUGAAAUCACAUAGACAUGGGACCUUGACAUAUCUCAGCAAACAUUAAUUCUUGCUGAUGAAACUUUUUUUCCUCUACAGCAAGCACCAGUUUCAUAUGAAUUAUGCAAAAUAAAAAGUAUUAUUUGGCCAUAUUACGAAGCUUCACUCGAUUCUUAAAAUAAAUAUAAUAUACGGUGAUGGGUAUGAAAAUAAUAGCUGUGAUAUAUCUCAGAAACAAUUUAUACAGAAAUGUCCAAGUGAUCUUAUUUUUUAUGAGAAGUAAGUCAUGAUAUUAUUCUAAUAUUUGAUUUUUAUGUGGAAUACAUUCAAUAUUUGUAUACAUGCUUGAAUGUCCCCUAUGUCUUGUACGUACAAAAGUAAUGUACAUAUGAUAUAAACCACCAAGAAUAUGGACUAAAAAAAAUACAAUCUGUUUUAUUUGACAAACUUUGAUUGAAUAAAGUUUCCCAUGUUAUACAUUCAA